CUCGUGGUAGCUGAGGCGGGGGCUGUCGGGGCCCAACACCGUCAGCACGAGCGCACGGGCAGCGGCACGGCCAGCACCGCGUCCGCGGACAGCGCCGCGCGCAGCCGCACCAACGCCAACAGCGGCUGCUCCAGGAACGCUGCGCAGCCCACGAGCACCAGCGUGGCCUCGGUGUCCUCGGGGAGCUGCUGGUGGAGCUGUGGGCCGAGCUGCGCCCUGGAGGGGCUCUGCCCGGCCCCAUGCAGCUCCCUCAUCUCCACAGCCCGCUGCUCCCGCAGCAGUGCGCGCUGCUCCGCGUCCUUCUGCUCCCCGUCCGAGCACUGCAGCUGCGCCGCCGGCAGCGUCCACACCGACUCGGCCUCACUGGGGUGCUUGUGCCGCAGCAGCAGCGCCCGCAGGACGUCGUCGCGGUGCUGCGGCUUCAGCUGCCCCCUCGUAGAUGAGCUGAUCCAGCAGCACG
rnacentral:lncRNA from 1 species